rnacentral:lncRNA from 1 species
GCACACAGAGGUUUCCAGAAAGUGCUGGCUUUUAUGACUGUCUUUAUUCUCUUGGGGAACAGGUCAGCUCCAGGCUUUGAGAGGUACAGAGUAGGUGAAGGCUGUGCUCCUGUUCCCCAGAAACUCACAGCUGGGGCUGGGAGACAGACACACAGAUGGACGGAGUGUGAUCCAUGUGACUGGGCUGUCAUGACGUUGUGCACAAAGCUCCAGGAAGCCCUGAGGACAGCGUGAAGGAGCAAGGCAGGACAGCUUCCCGAAAGCGGUGGCAUCAGACUGGGCCUGAAAGGGUCAGGUCACAGCCCCGGGCUCCAUCACUUGCUACCAGAGUGACCCAGAAGAGAAGACAGGAUGAGUCGAGAAUGCAACCAUCAGCACCUCCCAGGAGUUUGCCAGCCUGGCAAGGCAAAGACACCAAGACAGGGACCCAGCUCCAAAGUACUCGCGGACACUGUCCAGCAGGCGGGGGCCUUGGCUUACGCAGAGGCUGGGUGCUCCAUGGCAUGGUCCAGAAAGGGCACCAGGGCUUGCGACCAGCAGGCCCAGGUGGGGAGCAGUGGGAGGAGGACCUGCUCUGCUCGGGAGUUUCACAAGGCACAAACAUUCCAGGUCUGGCCCCUGCCUCAGCCUUUCAGGAAAUCCUGUCAUUCAGCCAGGACAUAUAUCCCACUCGGACCGAUUUGACCAAGACCUUGGACUCGACAUUCUUCCUGUCCUAGGCAGGGCCCAUCUCACCUCUGGCUCAAUCCAGGAAUAGGAAAGGAUUUAAAAGUAAACGCUGAAAUGAGAAAGAUCUCGCUGGGCAGUCAUCAAACGCCGUUACAAUAGACAGGGCUCUGGCAGGUGCCUGACACGGCAGAGGCUCAAGGCUUGCUCAACAUGCUGCGACGUUCAAUGAUGAUUGUGCUUGGGUUGGUUUUGCAAAGCUCCUGCUCUCUGGCUGAAACCUCAGGACAGGGAAACCGAUGUGAUAAGAAGUCUGCCCUGAUAAUUAGGACCAAGUGUCAGUCCUGCUUGCUUAAUUUGAGAGCCAAGUGCCCAGAUGGUUACAGGAAGAUCAGCAACUACACCAUGGGAGUUCGAGAUUGCAGGUUCACCUUUGAGACUAGAACAGACUCCCAGUCUUUCCCCGGAUGCCGCCACAUCUGCAGGAAGGAGUAUCUCCAACCAGAGUGCUGUCCUGGCCACUGGGGUCCAGACUGCAUGGGUCAGUGUCUUCUCCUCCCCUCGGUGACCGGCUUCUCCACCACUGCUCAGUGAAGGCCUCACUGAGGUGAACAGGGUAGGAAACUCCAGAGCGCCUGCCUUUGCUGGCUCUGCCACAGACCACAGACUCCAUAAAGUGUGCAACUUAGACCCUGCGCUCUACUAACAUUCUGAGCGCAAGGGAGAAACAGGAGGAGCCAGAGAGGAAAUCAUCUGCAGAUGACAACUCUCACCUCCACAGUACCUGCAAGUGACAAAUGAUCUUUCAAAGAACGACCCUGUCAAGUGAGCCAACAGCGCCUCUUCCAGAGAAUCCCCUUUCUCUGUGCUCAGAAGUCUGUCUUCCCCAGAACUGCAGCUGCAGCCUGAAUGUUUGAGUCCUCCUGUGCAUUUGUCUGUUUUCUGUCACUGUAAGGAAAUACCCGAGGCAGGCAAACUUUAUACAAAAAAGAGGUUCACAUAGCUCACAGUCUUGGGGGCUUAAGGGCCUGGUGUUUGGAUCACUUAGCUCUGGUGAGUGCCCACUGGGCUCUCUGACCCUGUGACAGGACAAGUAUGGGAGGAGGACAUCCCACUCUGAGGCUGGGGAGCCAGGCCCUGAUUUUUACAACAACUCCCUUGCAAGAAAUCCCUCAGCCCCUCCUGCGGGCACCUGCACUUGCCCCAAGGACCUCCCAGAGCCUCCUGCAAAGGGCUGACCACCUCCCAGUGCCACCACGCUGGACACCAGCCCUCCAGCAUGUGAACCUUGGGGCACUCUGAAAUUCAUGCUGACUCCCAGUCAGCAGUGUGGGGCUCACAGCUCUUAACUGCAGGGCAUUGCUGUGAGUUGUGAACACAGGCACCCUUUAUAUUGCCUGGGACUCUACAUCACUCACCGUUUUGGGGGGAGCACUUUUCUCACAAGCUUGAAUGUGGGGUAACUGUGAUCCCACCUCGUUCGCACAGACACACCUCCCAGCCAUGGCCUGACUUCAGCUUGGAGCCAGCCCAUCCACAUCACUUAUUGCAAGUGUGGGAACUCAGCAGCCAAGUGUUGAUCAUCUUUAAAACAGUAGUAUUUCUCUCACCGAUCAUUACUUACAUUUUUCUGCUCGAUUUGGGGCAUUGUAAUAUCUGGCUAGCUUGCUGCUCAUCUCUUUGCUCCAACACAGAAUAGAAUGCUUGGCACAUGGCAGCUACUCCUGGGUUGUUUGGUGAACGACUAGAAUCUUCUAGUAGAUGUUGGUAAAAGCCCUACUGUAGAUCUUGCUGUACUCAAAAGUGCAAAAUCCAUGCUUGUUUGGAGUCGGCUUCUUUAUGAAAUCUAAAUGCCUGUUCUCAUCAUGCUAAGCACUUCAGUCAUUGCCCACAUCCACACGAGUCCACUCCCCAGUCCCAGCCCCAACAGCUUCUCAGCAUUCCCAGAAGAGCCCACGAUCCCCUGCAACUCUGAGAUGCUACCUUCCAUUUCCUCUUCCGGAAAUGCGCUUCCCUCAAGGCAUAACCAGCUCCUAUUGCACCUUCAAAACCCCAGCUUAAGUGACUCCUUGGGAACACUUCUCAGACUGUUCCCAGAGUACAAAGAGCUCCCCUCUCUGCACUCCCUCAAGGCCCUGCCUAGCAUACUAAGAAGUCUGGCUUUUUAAAAUUUCUUUUUAUUAUUAUUAUUAAUUUUAUUCAUACAUUUUAGGUAUGCGGUGUGAUGACAUUCAUCAUUGGAAAUUUGUACCUCUACGUAAUCCAUCUUGGUUCUUAUUUUUUCCCCCUUCCCCUGCCCUCCCUUCAACCCCUCCAC